rnacentral:rRNA from 1 species
AGUGAACGCUGGCGGCAGGCCUAACACAUGCAAGUCGAACGAGUGGCGGACGGGUGAGUAAUACAUCGGAAUCUACUCUGUCGUGGGGGAUAACGUAGGGAAACUUACGCUAAUACCGCAUACGCUCGAAUGAGCCGAAUGCGGAUUAGCUAGUUGGCGGGGUAAUGGCGCACCAAGCCGACGAUCCGUAGCUGGUCUGAGAGGAUGACCAGCCACACUGGAGCUGAGACACGGUCCAGACUCCUACGGGAGGCAGCAGUGGGGAAUAUUGGACAAUGGGCGCAAGCCUGAUCCAGCCAUACCGCGUGUGUGAAGAAGGCCUUCGGGUUGUAAAGCCCUUUUAUUGGGAAGGCGGUACCAGAAGAAUAAGCACCGGCUAACUUCGUGCCAGCCGCCGCGGUAAUUC